rnacentral:rRNA from 1 species
UGCCAGACUCCUACGGGAGGCAGCAGUGGGGAAUAUUGCACAAUGGGGGAAACCCUGAUGCAGCGACGCCGCGUGAGCGAUGAAGUAUUUCGGUAUGUAAAGCUCUAUCAGCAGGGAAGAAGAUGACGGUACCUGACUAAGAAGCCCCGGCUAACUACGUGCCAGCAGCCGCGGUAAUACGUAGGGGGCAAGCGUUAUCCGGAUUUACUGGGUGUAAAGGGAGCGUAGACGGCGAUGCAAGCCAGAUGUGAAAGCCCGGGGCUCAACCCCGGGACUGCAUUUGGAACUGUGUGGCUGGAGUGUCGGAGAGGCAGGCGGAAUUCCUAGUGUAGCGGUGAAAUGCGUAGAUAUUAGGAGGAACACCAGUGGCGAAGGCGGCCUGCUGGACGAUGACUGACGUUGAGGCUCGAAAGCGUGGGGAGCAAACAGGAUUAGAUACCCUAGUAAG